rnacentral:rRNA from 1 species
CGUAGGUGANCCUGCGGAAGGAUCAUUACUUUAUGUGAUGUUCAAAUUUGAAUUCGCAAUGAAAUGAUCGUUGUGAAACGGCUGUCGCUGGUGUCUAAGUGUUGCUGAUACGGUUGUGAACGUCCGUGGCUGUAUAUGUGGUGACAUGUUAGGACUCUAAUGAGUUUAAGACCUAAUGAGCCUCUUAAGUGAGGCCGCCAGCAACCUUUUUUUUCUCUACAUUUUAAAAAAAAAACUAAAAUUCUACCCUUAUCGGUGGAUCACUAGGCUCGUGGAUCGAUGAAGAACGCAGCAAACUGCGAUAAUUAUUGCGAACUGCAGAAGUAUUGAGCACAAAAGUUUUGAACGCAAAUGGCCGCAUUGAGGUCAAACUCUUUGCAACGUNUGGUUCAGGGUCAUUUUCUCUUAUAGCGGAAGCUUUAAUUUCUAUAAUGAUGUUGUUGCUUUAUAUUUUAAAAGGAUUUUUGUUUAUUCAUGUAUUAAAUCUAACUGUGAAAAUCNAACAAUUUUGACCUGAACUCAGUCGAGAGCNNCCGCUGAANUUAAGCAUAUCAGUAAGCGGAGGNAAAGAAACUNACCAGG